GGAGUUUCUAUUGUGGAGCAGAAGAUAAGCAACACAAUCUGGGUGACUUUGGUCACUUCACUCCCCUGAGAACACCCUGAGCAGUUAACCUCACUGAUCAGAGCCAUAAAGCGAGUUACAAGAGCAGCGUCUCACGCCAGGAUUACAUCACACCCUGAGCUUGCUCGGGCAUGCCCGGGCACGCCCCUGUGUCGCCAGGCAGCCGGCGGGCGACGGUACGAACCAGGGGACCCCCGCCGGAACAACACCCUGCUGAGCUCACAACCGCUGGGGGCCACUGCUCAGAGUAAACCUGAUGGUCCUGAGGGCUGAGGGCCAUAGAGGCUGAGGGCUGAGGGCCAUAGAGGCUGAGGGCCAUAGAGGCUGAGGGCUGAGGCCCAUAGAGGCUGAGGGCCAUAGAGGCUGAGGGCUGAGGGCCAUAGAGGCUGAGGGCCAUAAAGGCUGGGGGGCUGAGGGCCAUAGAGGCUGAGGGCUGAGGGACUGGGACUGGGGACACUGGGACCGGGGAGACUGGGACCGGGGAGACUGGGACUGGGGACACUGGGACUGGGACUGGCACAGGCACUCACAGGCGCUCACCAGUGAGUACCUGUGAGCGCCUGUGAUUGCUUUGUUGCGUUUCCACUUUUCCAGAUUGAAUAAAAACGAG
ensembl:lncRNA